AACCUCUGAUUGACCACCUGAGGUGAGCAAUGAGUCAGCCAGGGCAGCACAGGUGAAAGCAAUUCAAGGUGAAGCCUUGCUCCACCUCUCCCAGACCCCAUUUAAGAGCUGACUACCAGUAGGAAAGGAUCACUUUUGAGGAUUGCUCCUCUUGAAGUCUUCUCAGUGAGCCCAGGACAAGGAUGGAGAGCUCCUCGUAGCGGUCCUUCAUUGCUUGGUUGUGCAACUUCAUCGCUUCUAAACGACAGCCAGAGACAAAUCAUUGAUUCACAUCAGUACUCUGCCAAUGAAACAGCAGAUUUCCUCUACAUCGAGCUCAGCCUUCUUCAAUAUCAAAGGGACAAGCAGCAAUCAGAUAUGAAAUGCAAACCACCUUCUCAUAUCUCUCAGUGAACUGAAAUGAAACUCAUCAUAGCUCUUUAGCACUAUAAUAAAUACCACUAAAACCACUGCUGAAAUAACAUGCUCACACUCUCUCGCUCCUUGACUUCUAAACCAAGAAGUACAAGCAAGAAGUAGUGCCCACAAGAAGUACUCGUCAUCUCGCACGUGUUAUGUACACAGUCAACACAAAUGAAACUACUGAACAAAGAUUCUGAAACUACUGAGAUUCAGUAGGGAAAGUGUAUUUUCUAGAGUUGUAAAUUAAUGCAUGAAAACAGCUGCUAUUAAAUUGAAAGUCUCAAACAUGUCCAACCAUGUUCUGCUUGAAUAUUCAGUUAAGAUUUGACUAAAAGCACUAACAAAAAUCUAACUGGCAACUUAGAGCAAUAUCAUUUCAUCCUGACUGGGAAGCCAAGUGUAUGUAACAAAGUCAGUGAGUCAGUAUGCAGCAACUCCAGUCUCACUAUUGCAAAAUGCUGACAAGAUCUUUAUGAAGCCAAUGAAUGUAUUUUAGAUUUGGUUUUUAAAGUAACAAAUUCAAAGUCAGUAGCUUGAAAGUCUUCUAUAUACAUUGUAUCUUCCAGAAACAGAUGUUAUGUCUUCACAUCAUAUAAUAAAUUGUCAAAAAGUCCUUCACAUAACCAAAAAGCAAAGGUAACUCCGGAGAAUGAUCCUGUGAGGCAUGAGUUACAGCA